GGCAGGGCGAAGCUGAUCAGCCUGCCGCGUGUGUGAAGAAGGUCUUCGGAUUGUAAAGCACUUUAAGUUGGGAGGAAGGGCAUUUACCUAAUACGUUAUUGUUUUGACGUUACCGACAGAAUAAGCACCGGCUAACUCUGUGCCAGCAGCCGCGGUAAUAC
rnacentral:rRNA from 1 species